rnacentral:rRNA from 1 species
CGCUGGCGGCACGCCUAACACAUGCAAGUCGAACGAAGUAGCAAUACUUAGUGGCAGACGGGUGAGUAACAUGUAGGUAUCUGCCCUUUGGCCUGGAAUAACACGAGGAAACUUGUGCUAAUACCGGAUAAGUCUUUACGGAGAAAGCUUUAUGCACCAUUGGAUGAGCCUGCACUUGAUUAGUUUGUUGGUGGGGUAAUGGCCUACCAAGACUGUGAUCAAUAGCUGAUUUGAGAGGAUGAUCAGCCACAUUGGGACUGAGACACGGCCCAAACUCCUACGGGAGGCAGCAGUGGGGAAUCUUGCACAAUGGAGGAAACUCUGAUGCAGCGAUGCCGCGUGAGUGAAGAAGGCCUUUGGGUUGUAAAGCUCUUUCGUCGGGGAAGAAAAUGACUGUACCCGAAUAAGAAGGUCCGGCUAACUUCGUGCCAGCAGCCGCGGUAAUACGAAGGGACCUAGCGUAGUUCGGAAUUACUGGGCUUAAAGAGUUCGUAGGUGGUUGAAAAAGUUGGUGGUGAAAUCCCAGAGCUUAACUCUGGAACUGCCAUCAAAACUUUUCAGCUAGAGUAUGAUAGAGGAAAGCAGAAUUUCUAGUGUAGAGGUGAAAUUCGUAGAUAUUAGAAAGAAUACCAAUUGCGAAGGCAGCUUUCUGGAUCAUUACUGACACUGAGGAACGAAAGCAUGGGUAGCGAAGAGGAUUAGAUACCCUCGUAGUCCAUGCCGUAAACGAUGUGUGUUAGACGUUGGAAAUUUAUUUUCAGUGUCGCAGCGAAAGCGAUAAACACACCGCCUGGGGAGUAC